rnacentral:rRNA from 1 species
UACAGAGGGGGCAAGCGUUGUUCGGAAUUACUGGGCGUAAAGGGCGCGUAGGCGGCCACCUAAGUCAGACGUGAAAUCCCUCGGCUCAACCGGGGAACUGCGUCUGAUACUGGGUGGCUUGAAUCCGGGAGAGGAAUGCGGAAUUCCAGGUGUAGCGGUGAAAUGCGUAGAUAUCUGGAAGAACACCGGUGGCGAAGGCGGUCUGCUGGGCAGUGGCUCGCAAGGGCCAAUAGCCGACACUGAGGCGCGACAGCGUGGGGAGCAAACAGG